rnacentral:rRNA from 1 species
CGGACGGGUGAGUAACACGUGGAUAACCUACCUAUAAGACUGGGAUAACCUCGGGAAACCGGAGCUAAUACCGGAUAAUAUAUUGAACCGCAUGGUUCAAUAGUGAAAGACGGUUUUGCUGUCACUUAUAGAUGGAUCCGCGCCGCAUUAGCUAGUUGGUAAGGUAACGGCUUACCAAGGCGACGAUGCGUAGCCGACCUGAGAGGGUGAUCGGCCACACUGGAACUGAGACACGGUCCAG